rnacentral:rRNA from 1 species
GGGGAGUGACGUCAAGUCAGCAUGGCCUUUAUAUCCUGGGCGUACACACACGCUACAAUGGGAAGGGACAAUAGGUUGCGAAGCCGCGAGGCGGAGCCAAUCCAGCAAAACUUCCCUCAGUUCAGAUUGCAGGCUGCAACUCGCCUGCAUGAAGUUGGAGUUGCUAGUAAACGCAGGUCAGCCAUACUGCGUUGAAUACGUUCCCGGGGCUU